GUCAACAUUGAGUUGUUCAAUUUCGCUGGAAUUCCUCAAAAUCUGACUAAAUACUUUACUGAGCAGAACUCCAACUUCCUCCCACUGCAGUGAGUUUUGAACAGUAGCCACUAAAAUAAUUUGUUUUAUGUUACUAACUUACUUUAUUUCUUGCAUUUAUGUCAAGGGUAUGAUAACAGACAACAGUCUACAUUGAAUCUGAUUGACGGGCAUGGCAUUCUAAUCCAAGAUAGUGUUACUAAGCUCAAUGAGUCAGAGAGUGUGGUUGUCCUGGGCAACCUGAACCAAUCCUGUACUAACGUGGACUCAGAGGUGAGCACCAUCAAGAUCAGUAUGAGCCAUUAUUUCCAUGUGAUCAUAAUCCAUUGAUUGGUUAAGUGAUACUGUUACCUAAUCUUCGCUGAUGUCAUUUACUUCCACGUUUCUUCCGCACUGGCAUCGAAUAUCCAAAUUCGUCCGGGAUCAAAGUCCGGGAUCAAUCACGGCCCUGGGCCCGCAGGUCACAAGUCUGACCACUGGACAGAUCACUAAAGCCCCGCCCAGUGUGAUUUUACAAUCCCUGAGUACUCUGAGCAGUGUUUCUGGAUGGAACUUGGGACAGUCCUUGUCCAUCAUACAGAUUCUCAUCACCCAAAACUUCCAGUUGAUUCACUUCUUAAUAGGUUUAUUGCUAGUGGCCUAUUGGUUGUGAGCAUCAUUCACAACCAUGAUUCAUACUUUAAACCAUUCCAUCCUCUCUACUUCCAAUGUAGAGGAUAUUUCAUAAUUUAAUGUUUUCUUUCUUCAGAUAAACAAUACCGACAGUCUAAUAAACCUGGGCUCUAUAGUGGGAGGUCUUCCAACCCAAACACUCACCGCAAUACCCGAGCAGCAGGUUCUGACAACAUCCGCCUACCCAAAAUGUGUUACCAACAUGCUGACUGCUCCAACAAUUGUGCAGCAGAUCUAUGUUAAUAAGAUCAUCACAGUCGACAUGAAACCAACGGAGCUGAUAGUCAAUGUCCCAGAUGAAAUGGCAACUGACAUUCCCAGCAAUCUACUGAAUUUCCCAACAACUGGAAAUCAAACUCACUGCUCUGAACAUCAACAAGAAAAAAUGGAAACCUCAGCAGGUAUUGGGGGGAUUGUAGUAUUCAAAAGCUGUGUAGACCUUCAAAAUUUACACGAUUAUACCGUGGUGAACAUGUGUAUUAUACAUCUAUAA
rnacentral:lncRNA from 13 species